UUGGCAGCAGUUAGGUCAGGGCUAAUCUUCCUCAAAAAGAAAAAAAAUUCAUCUUUAAUGAAAAAAGAAAGUUGCAUCAAGUUACGCCCAUCAUUGGAAAGCUGAGACUUGAGGUUUCUGCCCCCAGAGUAGGUGGGCAGAGGAGGGGCGUAGGGAAGCAGAUGUGGGUCACUUCACCAGAGAGGGGCCUCUGGGCUGGGGAGGGGAGGAGGUGCCCAGAGGGCUGGCGGCCAAGGGCAGCAUGUCACAGGGCUGCUGAGGACCAGAGUGAGCUCUGGUCAAAUCCUGGGGUCAAGCAGAGACCGGGACCUCCUCUGUCUUCACCACGCCUCUCCUUCGUGCGGGAAACUUCGGCCUCUUUUCUCCCUGAAGCGUUUACUAUCCUAAGAUUCCUCGAUGCUUUAUCGAAGCUCUGGGGGAGGUUUUACUGGCUGAAAAUUGGUGAUUUAUCCAACACGGCAAAUAAUGAAGAAGUGAGCAGAAGGUGGGGCCCAGGGGCCCUGAAGCGUUUUGUGAUGCCAACAAUUUCAGGCGGAGCGACUUUCUUUCAUAAGGAAAGGAAUUACAGGGGAAUCCUAGAAAGAUUCGUUUGCAAGCAGCCCUACUCUAGACGAAUCUCUUAAAGGAUUGCUUUCAUCUGAAGGACACUUGUAGCCUCUACCUGGAAGAGCAGAGGACCCCCGGCACGCUUUCUGGCCUCAAGAUCCUUCUGGAACUCACUUUGCCUUGAAAUCUGGCCUAAGAUCAUGCACGAUGUUUGCAGAUCCCGGUCAGCUUCCAUUUGGGGCCAACGCCUGUGCUUAGUCUAAACUCAGAUUCUUGAUUUGCUAUCACCUGGGUUUCCAGCUUGUAGAGCCCCCAGCAUAGGGGGUGGGCUUGAGCGACAGUUGCUGCUGUUUUCCUGUCAAUCACUUCCUUCACCUCUGUGUGCCCACGUCACCAAAGAUGGAUCAGGAACCAAAGGGCCAAACUCCGGGCCAAGCAGGACGGACUCCACCACGUCGCCCUAGUGGCCCUGUCACGGUUCUUCCUUCCGCCUGUGGGCAAAUGCUGAGGUGACGUUUCCGAAGACUGGAAGCCGUGUCUCCUGUGACUCUUUCUGCGUGAGCUGAUCCUUGGACUAACAGAUAGGACUGAAGCCGCAGCAAAGCAGCCGUGGCCACAAUCGACACAGGACCGUAAACAUGUCUAUUGCCAUGGAGUCCCUCAGGAGACGAGGUCUUGUUUGGACCUAAACACGCUCAGUUUUCUGGACAUACAAUAGUUUCAUAUUGUCAACAAGCAUUGAGAAUCUAAAGAGACCAACUAUUUCUGGAGACACGGGUUCCAGACUGGAAAAGAUUGGGCAAGUCUGGGAGAGCAGUGGCAUCUGAGGGGGAGGACUGCACCAGGCGCUGUGGAAACAAGUGAGUAAGACCCAGCCUCGUCUUUGAGAGAACCGGUGUUCUAGAGGAAGAAAGGCUGGUGCUGAGGCUGAACCGCUCCACAUGCUGGGUGCUGGGAUGGUGAUGUGGGCAUGGACAUGAAAUAACAGCUUCUGCUGAGGGGACAGGAAAAUGCCACUGAGCUUGUGGCAUUUCAGUGGGUCAGUGGAUGUGUUUGGGCAAACGAGGUAAAGGACCUUUAAACAAAGUGUCCUCAAGGACCUGGCAUUUGGUGGCCGAUGAGAGGGCCAGUGUGUCAGGAGCUGCAGAGCGCUCACGAUGAUGCACGGAUGGGAACAGCGACGGAUAAUUCGUCCUGAUGUGAGUCGGGCCAGGUGCGCCUCACUGAGGGGGUAGAGUUCAUGCUACAAAUCUGUGUUUCUCAAACUGAGCUCUGCAGGGUGCUGGAGACCUGUGGACCUUUUCCCUUAAAUCUGUGAGCACUUUCCGGCUUUUAAUAUGGAUGACAUUUAAAAAUAAAAAAGUCACAAGUAUCAUCUGAGGGCCAAUGUGGAUGAACUUGACUCAGAUCACUCUCACUUGAAUUUGUGCCACUGCCCUUUUGUGUCGAGCGUUGCUUUCACACCAAGCACAGCAAACGCGGUCACGGGAAGUAUUCACAGUAGUCUGAAUGGGAACAGGUGUGUGAAGACUGAGUCAUUGCACUGAGCGGGGACAUCGACAUGCCAACGUCACAAGAACCCGGACUCCAUUAGCCAAUGCUGGGGUUACGAGCGAGUGGACAUUCUUUGCACAGCCUGGCCUGACACCAUCCCAUCACGACCAUUUGUUGGCAGCGAGUGUUGGAGUGACUAUUGAAGAGUUUUCCUGUUUUCCUUGGAAAGAUAGAGAUAAUACUAGAAAUCUAAAGUAUAUUCAAGGAAUAGAACAAUAGCUGUUGUAUUUUCAAGUAAACAAGACAAUUUGACUAAUUUAUCAGGAGCCGGUUCAUUAAAAGUGAUUUUUGAGGAUUGA